rnacentral:rRNA from 1 species
AUUGAACGCUGGCGGCAGGCCUAACACAUGCAAGUCGAACGAGUGGCGGACGGGUGAGUAAUGUCUGGGAAACUGCCUGAUGGAGGGGUAUAACUACUGGAAACGGUAGCUAAUACCGCAUACCAUCGGAUGUGCCCAGAUGGGAUUAGCUAGUAGGUGGGGUAAAGGCUCACCUAGGCGACGAUCCCUAGCUGGUCUGAGAGGAUGACCGGCCAAACUGGACGUGAGAAACGGUCCAGACUCCUACGGGGGGCAGCGGUGGGAAAUAUUGCAAAAUGGGGGAAAGCCUGAUGCAGACAUGCCGGGUGUAUGAAGAGGGCCUUGGGGUUGUAAAGUACUUUCAGAGGGGAGGCGUUGCCAGCAGAAGAAGCACCGGCUAACUCCGUGCCAGCAGCCGCGGUAUUC